rnacentral:rRNA from 1 species
UACGGAGGGUGCAAGCGUUAUCCGGAUUCACUGGGUUUAAAGGGUGUGUAGGCGGAUAUUUAAGUCAGUGGUGAAAUCUCCGGGCUCAACCCGGAAACUGCCAUUGAUACUAUUUAUCUUGAAUACUGUUGAGGUAGGCGGAAUAUAUCAUGUAGCGGUGAAAUGCUUAGAUAUGAUAUAGAACACCGAUUGCGAAGGCAGCUUACUAAGCAGUUAUUGACGCUGAGGCACGAAAGCGUGGGGAUCAAACAGG